CAGCUACGCGAUUUUGGCGCGAACCUGCUGGCUCCGCCUGCCUUCGGCGGCCAGGCUAGGGCGGGAGCGGCGCCACGGGCCUAUGAGGGAGCUCGACCUCCGGGAACCGUUCCGGGCGCCGCCUGGUCGGGGCCGGACGGGGCAGCCGAGGCGGCCUUCUGGGAGGGGCGAAGGGUGCUAGGCUCGACUAGGCCCAGCCGAACGCCACCCUGGAAGCUUCUUGCUCGCGGUCCCUCAGGCGCUCUGGGGUCUGAGACUGAACUCAAGCUGAAUUUUUAAUAAUGGAGCAUUUUAAUACCACAUGGACCAAGAGCAUGCUGUAUAUACAUUGUAGGUAAAAGAGACACUCCGUGAAUCAGGUUUUCCACCACUCCUGGCAUGGACUCUGUAACAGUCUUUGUUUACUUGUCUGGCUUCCCUUCCACCCAGGGCUGAGAUCAAGUUUUAUUUGUCUUGAGAGCUCCAGCGACCAGCAAUGUGCCUUGGCCCCUGAGGAGGAACUUAAUAAAUGUGUCUGGAGUAA